rnacentral:rRNA from 1 species
UACGUAGGGGUCCGAGCGUUGUCCGGAAUUAUUGGGGCGUAAAGGGCUCGUAGGCGGUCCGUCACGUCGGGAGUGAAAACUCGGAGCUCAACUCCGAGCCUGCUUCCGAUACGGGCAGACUAGAGGUAGGCAGGGGAGAGCGGAACUCCUGGUGUAGCGGUGGAAUGCGCAGAUAUCAGGAAGAACACCGGGUGGCGAAGGCGGCUCUCUGGGCCUUACCUGACGCUGAGGAGCGAAAGCGUGGGUAGCAAACAGG